AGUGAACGCUGGCGGUAGGCCUAACACAUGUAAGUCGAACGGCAGCACAGUAAGAGCUUGCUCUUACGGGUGGCGAGUGGCGGACGGGUGAGGAAUACAUCGGAAUCUACUUUUUCGUGGGGGAUAACGUAGGGAAACUUACGCUAAUACCGCAUACGACCUACGGGUGAAAGCAGGGGAUCUUUGGACCUUGCGCGAUUGAAUGAGCCGAUGUCGGAUUAGCUAGUUGGCGGGGUAAAGGCCCACCAAGGCGACGAUCCGUAGCUGGUCUGAGAGGAUGAUCAGCCACACUGGAACUGAGACACGGUCCAGACUCCUACGGGAGGCAGCAGUGGGGAAUAUUGGACAAUGGGCGCAAGCCUGAUCCAGCCAUACCGCGUGGGUGAAGAAGGCCUUCGGGUUGUAAAGCCCUUUUGUUGGGAAAGAAAAGCAGCAGGUUAAUACCCCGCUGUUCUGACGGUACCCAAAGAAUAAGCACCGGCUAACUUCGUG
rnacentral:rRNA from 1 species